rnacentral:misc_RNA from 1 species
GAUGAAGAACGUAGUGAAAUGCGAUAAGUAAUGUGAAUUGCAGAAUUCAGUGAAUCAUCGAAUCUUUGAACGCACCUUGCGCCCUUUGGCUAUUCUGAAGGGCAUGCCUGUUUGAGUAUCAUGAACACCUCAACUCUCAUGGUUCGCCAUGAUGAGCUUGGACUUUGGGGGUCUUGCUGGCCUACGGUCGGCUCCUCUCAAAUGAAUCAGCUUGCCAGUGUUUGGUAGAGUCGCAGGUGUGAUAACUAUCUACGCUUGUGGUUUUCUGCCAGAUAACCUUCAGUGAUGGAGGUUCGCUGGAGCUUAUAAUGUCUCUCCCCAGUGAGGACAGCUUUUUGAACGUUUGAUCUCAAAUCAGGUAGGACUACCCGCUGAACUUAAGCAUAUCAAUAAGCGGAGGA